rnacentral:rRNA from 1 species
AGCGGCGGACGGGUGAGUAUGUCUGGAAACUGCCUUAUGGAGGGGGAUAACUACUGAAACGGUAGCUAAUACCGCAUAACGUCGCAAGACCAAAGAGGGGACCUUCGGGCCCUCUUGCCAUCAGAUGUGCCCAGAUGGGAUUAGCUAGUAGUGGGGUAACGGCUCACCAAGGCGUCGACGGGUAGCCGGCCUGAGAGGGUGACCGGCCACACUGGGACUGAGACACGGCCCAGACUCCUACGGGAGGCAGCAGUGGGGAAUAUUGCACAAUGGGCGAAAGCCUGAUGCAGCCAUGCCGCGUGUAUGAAGAAGGCCUUCGGGUUGUAAAGUACUUUCAGCGGGGAGGAAGGUGUUGUGGUUAAUAACCACAGCAAUUGACGUUACCCGCAAAAAGCACCGGCUAACUCCGUGCCAGCAGCCGCGGUAUACGGAGGGUGCAAGCGUUAAUCGGAAUUACUGGGCGUAAAGCGCACGCAGGCGGUCUGUCAAGUCGGAUGUGAAAUCCCCGGGCUCAACCUGGGAACUGCAUUCGAAACUGGCAGGCUAGAGUCUUGUAAGGGGGGUAGAAUUCCAGGUGUACGGCGAAAAUGCGUAAGAUCU